rnacentral:rRNA from 1 species
UUGCGGAGAGUUUGAUCCUGGCUCAGGAUGAACGCUGGCGGCGUGCCUAAUACAUGCAAGUCGAACGAGGUGCUUUUGUAGCAAUACGAGAGUAUCCUAGUGGCGAACGGGUGAGUAACGCGUGGGUGACCUGCCCCAAAGUGUGGGAUAACAGAUCGAAAGAUCUGCUAAUACCGCAUGUGGUUAUCGGGUUUAGAAAGCGAUAACUAAAGCAGCAAUGCGCUUUGGGAGGGACCUGCGUCCCAUCAGCUAGUUGGUGAGGUAACGGCUCACCAAGGCGACGACGGGUAGGGGACCUGAGAGG